GAGAAGAUAACCUUAAGGCAACACUUCAUUUUUCUCCAGAGAAAAAUGCAUACAAGGGUCAACCAUUUGAGUCCCCUGUCAAAUGUUUGGCUGCUUUCCUCAGUCCUCCAUAGUGUUAAACUGUGACGCUGGUCGGAAACAGCCCCCACCCCCUCACCCCGUAUCACCCGUGCCUCUGUCUGUAAAAGCUCUGAAGUCAUAUUCCCCUGUAUUCACGUGCUCGGAGCAGCAGUGCAGAAAUGCUUGAGCAGAUGAUCAUAGCAAUGGCUGUUCUCCUUACCCUCUUCUGUGCUGAACUUACUGAAUCCUCCUCAAGCUGCUGUCUCCUCAAAGGUUUGAGAUUUUCUGUUGCUUCUUAAUUCGGUUGCAGCGCAGUUGAUGUAUGUUGUGUGCAGCACAUGAAUCCUUGUGGAUAUUUAUAACUGAGUGUCUCCAGAAUACUGAUCAAAGAGAGAUGUUGUAUAACUGAAAUUAAUAUUACAAAAUUAGACUUUGCAUUAAAGAAACAAGUCUACACACAACAACAACAACAAAAAUGGGGGGAAAAAGCAGCGAAGGAAACAGCCAACUCCAUGUGCAGUGCACCACAUCCUCAAUCUCUAACUUUCUCUUUCCAGACUAAAUCUGCAUAUGUGCUUUUAUCUUUCAGCCGAAAUAAAAAGAGUGGAUGAAAAUGCAACAGCAUUUGUGUCCUGUCCAGCACUUGCAAAGAAUGAAAAACCAUCUAUCUCUCUAUACAAGGGAGAUACCAAACUGCACUCAACAAACCUGAGUGAUGUGUACAGAAAUCAGUCACGGCAAGGCUUUCAGGUGUAUGUACAAAACUCCUCCGUCUCAUAUAUGAUUCUAAGAGCUGAAGCCAGAGACACAGGACUCUACAGUUGCAAAAUCGACACACAAAUCAAGACAUGUGCCUCCCAGACUAUCUUGCUCAUUAAAGAUGCUCUGCAGCCCAUAGACAGCCCAACUGUCACUUGUCCCAUUGAUCAGACACUUCCACUUGCGUUUGUUGUUAGCUGUGGGGUCAUCGCUGCAUUUGAUCUGUUCAUCACUGUCUUCGUCUGUUACCUCACAGUGAGUAUCCACAUCUGCAACCUCACACCAAAUGUCCUAAAUAAAUUCAUUGCCAAUUCAAAGUGUUUUAAAAUCAAGGUUUAUAUGUUGUUUCAUGUGCUAAAUUGCUGA
ensembl:lncRNA